AUAUACACCCUCCACCACUCUUAACAAUUGUUACUGAUCUGAAGACAAAAGCUAUGGCAGCUACUUGUACUUCUACUUGGCUACCUGCAACUGCAGCUGCAUCAGUGAUUUGCAGAUAUCCAUCAUCCAAAAUCAGCAUGAAUUUAACCCCAACACCUUAUCAUAGUAAUAAUAAGGUCUUGAUUAGCAGCAAUAAUCCAAGAGCAACAACAAGGUUGUCUACAAAGUUGAGAGCAGCCGGUUUAACGGAUAUCGAACCCGACCUCAAUGAAGAUCCUGGUGACCGGUGGGCUACGAAUGGAGUUGAUGCUGAAGAUUUUAUAUAUGGAGAAUAUGAUGGACAUCAUACAUAUUUUGAAACUUCAGAGAAAGGAACAUUUUGGGGAGCAGUGGCUGAAGAAUAUAAUUCCAUGGAACCACCUACUGGUUUCCAAGGUCUUAUAUCGUGGCUGUUCCUUCCAGCAGUUGCUGCUGGGAUGUAUUUCAAUGUUCCGGGGGAGUAUCUGUACAUCGGAGCAGGUCUAUUUACAAUCGUAUUUUGCAUAAUUGAGAUGGAUAAACCAGACAAACCUCACAACUUUGAGCCCCAAAUAUACAACAUGGAGAGAGGAGCUCGUGACAAGUUGAUCGCUGAUUAUAAUACUAUGGACAUUUGGGACUUUAAUGAAAAAUACGGAGAACUCUGGGAUUUUACUUUGAAGAACGAUGCUAUAGCAAAGAGAUAAUUAUCAGGAAAUAGCCUUGGUUUGGGAUUUUCCCAACUGGCAUUCACAGUUGAAUCAGCCAUUAUUGUUGAUUGUUGUGGAUAUGCUUUCGGGAAUAUUGAAUGAAAGAAAAUGCUACGAGUAGUUGACUGGGGGAUGGCAAUCUAGUUUUCUGAGUAGCAGGCCUUUAUCUUGAUUCUCUGACUCUAAGGUGAAGCAGACACUCUGUGUAUUAAUGUGGCGUUCAUUGUUCAUAUGUAGCUAGAAUAUUUAGCUUCCUUAGUCUUGAAAUUGUUUGGUUGAUCCUGAGGUACAAUGGCAUUAUAAUGUCAUCCUGGCAAACUAUUAUUGUUUAGCUUCUGUGACUUUUGAACUAAGCAGACCGAAUUCUAAUUUUCAGGUUACCAUAUCAGUCAUCAACAUAAUGACACAAUCUUACUUAUACG